rnacentral:rRNA from 1 species
UACAGAGGGGGCAAGCGUUGUUCGGAAUUACUGGGCGUAAAGGGCGCGUAGGCGGCCUGCUAAGUCGAACGUGAAAUCCCCGGGCUCAACCCGGGAACUGCGUCCGAUACUGGCGGGCUUGAAUCCGGGAGAGGGAUGCAGAAUUCCAGGUGUAGCGGUGAAAUGCGUAGAUAUCUGGAGGAACACCGGUGGCGAAGGCGGCAUCCUGGACCGGCAUUGACGCUGAGGCGCGAAAGCUAGGGGAGCAAACGGG